CUUUUUGAAAUGGCAUAUUCCAAUAUUUACAAGGCCCACACUACUCUGAAAACCUCUUGCGUCCCCUGCAAUGUUCACGAUCUCUCUCAAAUCCUCAGACUAAUCUGUAACGAUGAGAGUUUGUCUUUGCUUCUCACUAUUAAAUCGGUCUUUCAAUCUCUCCCACUACGCUUUAUUCAGUUACCUUUUUCUGUAAAGUUCAGAUGAAAACCCUAAAAGACAUCUAUAUAAACCGUCUUAGAAAUCUUCGGCUCAAGCACCGGUAGUUGUUCCGGUACGGUCAUCAAGUGUCUUCUGCGAUUCUGAGAAACCCGAGAUCUCAACAAGGAAGGGGAACUGAUUGGAGUGGACAUGCUCCUUCUUGAUCAGAAGGUAACGCUUAUCCAAGUGUCGGUUUACCACUUUCCGACAUCUUCUGAGAGAAGGUGCAACUUACAAGAUUUGAUGAGAGGUGCUUCAAUUCCAUUGGAGCUCUUUACGUUUCGUGACUAUGCAGCGUUAGUGUCUUUGCCCAAUACUAAUACUCAGUUACCUGUGAUCAGGCUCGGACAGCUCUACAAAUUAUGGUUAACAUACAAAUUGACAGUUCUACAACUGUUAAUCUUUGUGUUUACAACACACAAGCCGACCGGCUAAAAGAAAAACUAUUGGCAAUGGGUGUGCCGAAGGUGGUCGUCGCUAUUAGCAUAAACUCCAAGUUCGUUCGAGGGAGUCUUUCCGUAGAUGCUACCCAUGGGACACAUCUCUACUUUGACGACGAAACAAGAGCCAGCGAGACCUUUGUUGCCAGUUUUCCUGAUCACCACUUUGACUCUUCCACGAGUCCACCCAAAAAAGGAAGCGUAAAAAAGAUCGAAGCGGUCCAUGUGUCAGAGCUCAACACAUAUGUGACCAACUCCCCACCUCAGGUUCAUUCUCAAUGUAUUUCCAUGGUGAUUUUGCACAAUCUAAUUACCAUUCAAGAACCCGUGUUGUAGAGAUAAUGGUCCUAACUCAUUAGCCAAUUAAGUGUGUGAAAGGAGUAGGUAAAUAUCAACGGAGAUAGUCGCUGAUCUCUUGACUAUACCUUUCCCUUGCAAAGCUUAAAAGUAAAAUAUUUUAAUGUCUGAUUUCAUGUAUAUGUUUAUAGGAUUGCAACAUUUAGAUUGCCACUGAUGGGAACAUGAAAGUAUAAUAUUUUUAGUAGCGUUAUAUUAGCUCUUUGACUAUAUUUUUCAGAUGCAAUACUUACUGUUGUGCUCUCAGUGUGGAGAAGCAGACUCUUAUUUCUCAAAUCUGCUAAACUUUUUCCCAACGUACCUGAUUGUUCGGCCUUGAAUCUGUUUGCAUUAAAAGCCUUUGACCUUCCUCAUCCUACCAAGGGUCGAUCAUCUUCGUAGGUAUCUUAUUUACGCGUUACUGCUCUCCGAUGAGGCGAUGACCAUACAGCACACUGGAAACAAAAAUACCAAGCCUCUAAAUGUGUCCCCAAAUCUCACUACCGGCCUACCGUCUACAGAUAUAGCACGAUUCAAGUCGGAGCGUCUUAGAGACCAUGGAGAAGAAGGAACAAAUGCAGUUUCUUAUGAACCUGCUGCAGACAAGACAAGACACCAAGGAGAAAUGCUUCGUUGAACCCCUUUUGAUAUGCAAGAGCCCGCACAAUACUCACUCGUUUCUGUUUUUAAUGAUUAUUCCAAUAGAGGAGAAACAAUUAACACAAAACGUGUGUUGGUUGUUUAGUCUUCAUGCGAGAUAUUCAUGUGAAAUACUAGCUCCUCUUUCACUUUUUUGGUGCGACGAGUAUGCUGUGAUUAAAUUAUUUGAUUGUGUUGAUUACUUGAUUUUGUUGAGAAUGAAAUUUACUUGCAUAAUUGUAAUAUGAUGCUUGAUUUGUCGUGA